GCCGGGCGUGUUGGCAUGUGCCUGUAAUCCCAGCUACUCGGGAGGCUGAGGCAGGAGAAUUGCUUGAACUCAGGAGGCAGAGAUUGCAGUGAGCCAAGAUCAUGUCACUGCACUCCAGCCUGAGUGACAGAGCAAGACUCUGUCUCAA
rnacentral:SRP_RNA from 1 species